GGCUUUCCUCGGUGGAACAUUAUUAGAAUUCCGGCCAUAUGGUCCAUUAUUGAAGCAUUUCCUGAGUAACUGCUCAUUUCGAACAUAGUUUACUGGGCUUCUAGCCUCAACCAUGUAUUACUUAGUGCCAGAAAAACUAAAAUCCAUCUUUGGAAGCUGAUGUAUGAAAUAAAGCAGCUCGAUUGCUUUUCUAAUUAUUUCAACUUGCUUGUAAUGUUCCACUUAUCUAAAAUGUACAACGUGAUAAUGGCGAC
rnacentral:lncRNA from 1 species